AUGAUGACCUGGUGUGCUUACAAAUACACAAUUAUAAGUCAAUUUAUGAAGCUAUCCGCUAAAGAGAAACAUAAAAAUAAGGGUAAAUAGUUAUCUAAUUUAUAUAAAAGUUUAAAUGAUUUAAAACAACAAAAUACAUUGAAGCCAUUAAUGGAAAUCACUGAGAAAAUUAGUGUAAUUGAAAAGAUCAAUAACCAUCUUAUAAUAAUUUAAUUUUCCCAACUACUAAACCUGUUGGCACCAUCAGGGGUCAUGUCAAAGCAUUUUGGGCUAUUUUUUACUGUUACAUAUGUGCUCUGAUUUAAGACAAAUUUUAGUUGGCUUUGAUCCUCUCAGAGGAUUGUAGAGAUAGAUUUAUUGCAUUUUGCCUUUAAAUAACCAUAUAUAACUUGUGUUCAAAAGAGUCAUCACUUGGGGAAUGCCAUACUGAGCCAUAAAUAUUUAAAAUCACAAUAACCUAUUUGUUCAAACUAGGACCAUAGGCCAGUACAAUUACUCGAUUUUAGUUAAUACACAUUUAUUUAACAAAUUAGUUCCACAGAAACAAAAUGGUUGAUAUAAAGUCAUUACAAAAGGUGCUGCAUACGGUUUCCUCAUCCACUUCUACCAUCCUAUUAAUUCUUUAUGUUUUUAAAGACACAUUGUACAUUUUAGUUUUUUUAUAGGAGUAAUUGAACACUAAAACGUCUGUUCCCCUCAACACUCAAAAGAAAUAACACUAGAAUUCAACUUGGAGCUGUCUCGUCCGACAGUGCCGAGGGGGAACGUAAUGCGGAUGCCCAUUAGACCUUCACCACAGAACAGCAUCAAAUCAAUGCUUUCCUAUAGGGAUUUGAAGAUGAUGGAUGUCCUCUUACACAUAGACAUUGCAGUUUCACUAAAAUCAUAAUGAUUUAUAUUGCAGGGUUAACCCUUUAAGGACGGAGACAAUUGUACAAGUUGACCAAAAUAAAACAUAGAAUGUGAGCUACAUUUUUAAGCACCUACACAUCAUUUUGUUCAGGAGAAACAGGAAUUUCAAUUCACAUCAAACAUUUAAAUAUGAAACAAUUUUAUAUGAAUAAAAUCAAAAAAAAAGGUUCUUCAUGACAUUUUAACUGUGAAUGUUAGCUUUUACUGCAAUAAAACACAUUUGUAUUCCAUUCAAUGACAUUGCUAUUAGCACAUAUAGCGACCCUACCCAAACCCAGCAAAAACCCAACAAUAUAUGCAAGUUUCCAACCCAUCUCCCUAUUAAAUGUGGAUAUUAAGCUGUAUGAGAAAAUCCUGGCAACCAGGCUCAGCCCUUUAGUGGCCACAUUCAUUCAUUUUAACCAAUCAGGCUUCAUCAAGGGGAACCAGGGAUCUGACAAUACCAGACAUAUACUGAACACGAUCCAUCUUUUAAACACUAGGUCGGAGUAGGGUCUUUUUCUCACGCUGGACGCAGAAAAGACAUUCGAUAGGUUUAAUUGGAAAUACAUGGUGAAGGUGCUGAGGAGAUUUGGACUCCCGCCAUAGAAGCGGUGAUGGCAUUAUGUUACAAACCAACAGCUAGUGUUGCUAAAGCAGGUUUUGUCUCCCUGCCACAUAACAAACGGGACCAGACAAGGGUGUCGACUACCACCUAUUCUGUUUACUCUAUGCUUGGAACCACUAGCCCACAUCAUUUGACAAUCUACAGAUAUAAAUGGAGUGGCCAUAGGGAGAAUAUCUCAUAAACUGUCACUGUUUGUGGAUAAUAUCCUAAUGGUCACAGAGCCAGAAACUACCAGCACUAUAAAUCAAUAUGACACAAAGCAAAAAACAAACCCUGCUAGAGACUUUGACUGGAGAACGGAGCAUAUAGGCUAUCUUGGGGUACGGGUUAACAAACAAUCCCAGCCCAACUCAAACACAACCACAUGCACACAUUAACUAACCUAAGACAUUAGUUGGACAAUUGGGGUAGUGAAAUUAUCUUUGGCAGGACACAUAAAUAUUAUUAAGAUAAUGUCUCUACUCAAGAUUCUAUAUAUAUUCAGAUUACUUCCUAUUCCAAUUCCUAAAAGUUAUUGUAACAAAGUGCAAUGACUUUUUGCAUCCUUCAUAUGGAGCAAAAAAAAUGCCAGAGUGGCAGGGUUGGUCUUACAAAACCCUUAGACAAAGGGGGCAUGGAAAUACCCCAAGUGAGGGCAUACCACAGAGCAGCACAAGUCAUCUUACAUGCUUCAAAGGGAAAACUAGAUUUGGUGGACACGGAAAGACAACAAUUAAUUUAGGAAGCUAUGUUAGCCCAUAUGUGGACUCCGCCCACCCUGAGACAAAGUAAUUUAGUCCUAUUUGCCACCACUCGAGCAAUUAUUGCUGUUUGGAACUCACUAUUUCUAACCAGGCCCGGACUAGCCAAAGGGCAUACCAGGCAAAUGCCGCGAUAGCCAUGGGCAGAGUCCGAAGAGAUGAGAGAUCUCCCUCACCGCCCCACAGACAGUAAAAUGCAGCCAGUGGCGAGGGAGGGGAGAUGACCCAGGGGAGCGCUAGCCUGCAGCUCCACUGGGUAUCUCUUGCGAAGCUGGAGCUUUUCUGUGGUCACCAUGGCAACACUUCAGAUCUCGCAAGAGUUCACUCACCACAAAAACCAGCUGGGAUUGCAGCAAGGAAAAAGGAAUGGAAGGAGGGGGGAUACAGCGCUAUUUAUUUUUUCUUACACAUUACAUUCCAGACAAACACUAGAUCCCCUACACAACUCUGGAUGAUUUAUUACUUAUAUAUAUAUAUAUAUAUAUAUAUACACACACACACUCUCUCUCUCUCUCUCUAGAUUCCUUGUAAGCAAACACAUACUACAUUCCCUAAACACACUCUCUUCAACCCCUACACACUCUACAUUAUCUAUACACACACACAGACAAUUAAAGCCCGUAUGCACACACUCACUACAUCCCCUAUACACACUAUCAGGGGAUACCUAGAGCAUUUGGCACCCGGAGCGGAUCCUGUGUUUGGCACCCUCCCUCCCCUGCCCGCAUCUACAAAAUCCAUGUACUGUCCUGCCCCCUUCUACAAACCCCGGCAACCUCCUUCCACAAAUCCCCUGCUCAGCCCCUCUUAUACAAGGCCUCUGCCCAAAUACAAAAUACCUGCACCCCCACACACACAGUUACAUGCCUGUCUGUCACAUGCAGACAGUCACACAUACAGUCAGAGACAGUCACACACACAGUCCUUACACCAAUACUGGGCACACAGUGAUCAAAACACAAGAGGAAUCUGGAGACCCACAGUUAGUGUCUGUCUUCCAUUACCAGUGAUGGUGACUACCGUCACAAUCUAUAUUAAUAAACAAGCUGGAACAAAACUCUGCAUCUUCUUUUCACCCAGAUCAUGUCUUGGGCAUAAAUUAAAUUUGAAUCAACUUUGGCCACAUACAUCCGAGGUAUGGACAACGUGAUAGCAGACAACUUGAGCAGAGCACAGUUGUCCCAUGCAAAAUGGUCCUUACAUCCAAGACUAUUUGUCACUCUGAUAAGUUUGGAAUACCAGAUAUAGAUCUCAUGGAAAUGAGGGAAAACAGGAAGGUUCCAGUUUUUGCAUCCCUAUAUUGGACAGACUAUCCUCUGUUUCUAGAUGUUUUCUUGGUGAAAUGGAACUUCAGAAUAGUAUCUGCAUCACCGGCAGUUGCUCUUAACUCUUCAAAAUACCGUUUUCAUUUUAAUCUUAGGUUUAGUGUUUCAUGUAACACUCGGGACUGUCUAGGCCGGGAAAGAUAUUUUUAGUAAUUAUAGCUUUUGCGUGAAACCAACUGUGGCAAGCAUAUUCCUUCCUGGAAUGAUAGGAGUUAUACCUCCUUUUGCGCAGUGUGCUACUUAGCAAAUUAAAGAAAUAAACUAAUAGUGGCAAGCUGACAGUGUGAAAGAAUUUACUUUGAUUCCAAGGUUCAAGCUUAUAGGUGUCAUAUUAGAUAUCCUAUAUUAAAAUUGGCUAACUUGGACUCAGGAAAGGCUUAAUGCUUAAAACGACACUUAAGACCAUAUAUAGAAAAACCAAAGAACAACUAUUCGGGGUACGGCUGAAUAAGUCUACAGAGGAACAUAAAAUAAAAUAUA